CAGGUAUGGCAUAUCUGAAUGUGGAAUCCUCUUUACCUGAAUGUCUUAGAGCUACAGAAUGGGUAUGAACUUGGAACAAUUCCUGCCUCCCAGGUAAAAUAGUUCAUCUAAUGCAUAGGCAUACCAUGAAAUCUGCACGAACUGAAGAAGCUGGGAAGCUGGAAGGAAAUUUCUCUAAUCCAUAGCUAAAUUUCUCCUGAUGAAGGCAUUUCAGUACCCAUCACUGUAUUAUCUAGGCGCCACCAUAAAAUUAAGAAGCUCUGCAGUGACAUUCCCAACAUGAUGUGUUCAAAGGUCAUUAGCAGAACCUUUCAUACUGGAAAAGAUCGGAGGAGAGUAAAGAAGCAAGCAGCAGAGGGAGAGGAAAAGGAAAAGGAGGCAGUAAGGAGCUGGAGCCAUUUUAGCUGUGCUCAUCCAGUGCGGCUGAGCUGGUACUGAAGUGGAGGAGCCUCCUGUCAGCUCUCUUUAUCCUGAUACAAGGACGAUAGCACUUGUUACGCUAUUGUUACAUCAGAAAUUAUCUCGCGCGCCCUGCAGAUCGCUGCCUCGGUGCUUUCUUGGGAUUCUGUUGACAUGUCUGGUCUCUGUGACUUCUGUAUAUUAAACGGACCAGAGCAGGGCAUUUCUUUCUGGAUUUCCUAGCAGACAGCAAGCACUGCAUCUCAGAAAACCACCUUCUCCAAAUUAAUUUCUUAGUUAAAAUUUUAUUUUUAGCUUAGUGUGCAAAUCCUACAAGCUCGUUGGUGCUUGAAGAAACAAAAAUGAAGGUUGUUUUCGGUGUAUGCAAAGUCGCAUAGCACCUGCUGAAUCAGGAGGGCUGAUCUGAUCCCAGGAGGCCCACUCCUGCUUCCACUGAAGUCAGCUGCUGUAAUCUCGCCGCAGCGAGGGCAUGCCGAGGACAAUCUAGGACAUUUGCAUUAUGGAAAGGUGACACGGGCUGUACUGUGUUCACUGAUGCCGUUUGGUGCUAUCCUUUCAAGAUACACACUGGUAAGAGAAAAAUUUGCUGAAGUUCUUUUUUUCACUCCUGCAACUAUGAAGCCUUAUUCAGUCCUGAGGAGGCUAAUGGCAGGCCGCCGAAGAGUACUCACACAAACCCACUGGGGUCUUUUUUUACCCUUUUUGGUUUUAGAUUUACACUAGGGAGCAAAUAGGUGGCUCCAAAGUGAGAAGGAAAGAGCCAAAGUUGGAAGCUAACCACAAUACGUGGGUGUAAGCGAUUACCAAAGGCUUCCAGUAACUCUGCUAUCAUCAGAGACUGGCUUUAUGGGUAUGGCCUCAAGAAGUUUCCCUCCAGUUAAUUAAAGAGGCAGAUAAGUAUCUAGGUGGAGUGUGCAGAUAGGUUCUGAAUGAGUUAUCCACUGAGGCUGGUUCACUGCACCUAUUGUUAAAGCCAAAAUAUAAUAUCAGAUUAAUGCAUUAUAUUUGCCUAUUAUAGCACUAUGUCAUCAUUAUAUGACAUGUUAUAAUUAAAGCCCUGCGUUGGAAACAAAACUAUUUGGCUUGGGAUAAGUUGCCUUUAUGACUUCUGUGGUUAUGAUUUCCUCCUUUUCUUAACCCCUUAAAACUGCAUAAUAUAGCUAUUUGUAACUGUAUAAAGAAAGUUUCUAGUCUCAGAUGGUAAUCUCAGUUAAUUCAAUUUAAAUAAAGUCAAA